GAUAUCAGGGUUUCAAGGUAGAAGUCCGAUGCAAGCUUGCUUGCGUGAGGAUUUCUGACUUUGGAACCCGCAAAAACCAUGAGUAAGCAGCCAUUUUUCAGAGAAAAAUGAGCGAAUUACGAAUGGUUUUGAGGAUUGCGGGAGCACGUAGUGCGGAGCAAUCCGA
rnacentral:sRNA from 1 species